UACAGAGGUCUCAAGCGUUGUUCGGAUUCAUUGGGCGUAAAGGGUGCGUAGGCGGCGCGGUAAGUCGGGUGUGAAAUCUCGGAGCUUAACUCCGAAACUGCAUUCGAUACUGCCGUGCUUGAGGACUGGAGAGGAGACUGGAAUUUACGGUGUAGCGGUGAAAUGCAUAGAUAUCGUAAGGAAGACCAGUGGCGAAGGCGGGUCUCGUGGACAGUUCCUGACGCUGAGGCACGAAGGCCAGGGGAGCAAACGGG
rnacentral:rRNA from 1 species